rnacentral:rRNA from 1 species
UACAGAGGGGGCAAGCGUUAUUCGGAAUUAUUGGGCGUAAAGGGCGCGUAGGCGGCUUCGCAAGUGACGGGUGAAAUCCCUCGGCUUAACCGAGGAACUGCCUGUCAAACUGCGUGGCUUGAGACCAGGAGAGGUGAGUGGAACUGCGAGUGUAGAGGUGAAAUUCGUAGAUAUUCGCAAGAACACCAGUGGCGAAGGCGGCUCACUGGCCCGGUACUGACGCUGAGGUGCGAAAGCGUGGGGAGCAAACAGG